rnacentral:tRNA from 2 species
GCGCCCGUAGCUCAGUUGGAUAGAGCAACGGUUUCCUAAACCGUGGGCCGGGGGUUCGAGUCCCUCCGGGCGCACCA